UACGAAGGGGGGCUAGCGUUGCUCGGAAUUACUGGGCGUAAAGGGAGCGUCGGCGGACAUUUAAGUCAGGGGUGAAAUCCCAGAGCUCAACUCUGGAACUGCCUUUGAUACUGGGUGUCUUGAGUGUGAUAGAGGUAUGUGGAACUCCGAGUGUAGAGGUGAAAUUCGUAGAUAUUCGGAAGAACACCAGUGGCGAAGGCGACAUACUGGAUCAUUACUGACGCUGGAGGCUCGAAAAGCGUGGGGGAGCAAACAGG
rnacentral:rRNA from 1 species